rnacentral:tRNA from 1 species
UUCCAGGUAGCUCAGUGGUAAAGAAUCUGCCUGCCAAGCAGGAGGCGCAGGUUCAAUUCCUGGAUGGGGAA